GAUGAACGCUGGCGGCGUGCCUAAUACAUGCAAGUCGAGCGAACAGACGAGGAGCUUGCUCCUCUGACGUUAGCGGCGGACGGGUGAGUAACACGUGGAUAACCUACCUAUAAGACUGGGAUAACUUCGGGAAACCGGAGCUAAUACCGGAUAAUAUAUUGAACCGCAUGGUUCAAUAGUGAAAGACGGUUUUGCUGUCACUUAUAGAUGGAUCCGCGCCGCAUUAGCUAGUUGGUAAGGUAACGGCUUACCAAGGCAACGAUGCGUAGCCGACCUGAGAGGGUGAGCGGCCACACUGGAACUGAGACACGGUCCAGACUCCUACGGGAGGCAGCAGUAGGGAAUCUUCCGCAAUGGGCGAAAGCCUGACGGAGCAACGCCGCGUGAGUGAUGAAGGUCUUCGGAUCGUAAAACUCUGUUAUUAGGGAAGAACAAAUGUGUAAGUAACUAUGCACGUCUCGACGGUACCUAAUCAGAAAGCCACGGCUAACUACGUG
rnacentral:rRNA from 1 species